rfam:Populus trichocarpa isolate Nisqually-1 chromosome 2, whole genome shotgun sequence.
UCUAGAACUUGAGAUAUGGGCUGAACACUGAACAAUGUCUGGGCUGCAGGACAGAUUCUGACUUCUCUAUUGUUGCUACAAUUUGGACUUGAAAACGGUUAUUUUGAAUCUUUGACUCUUCAUGAAAGUUUUAGGCCUAUGUCUUAGCUUUCUAUU